GGGGGAGCUUGCUCCCCGCUGACGAGCGGCGGACGGGUGAGUAAUGCAUAGGAAACUGCCCAGUAGUGGGGGAUAGCCCGGGGAAACCCGGAUUAAUACCGCAUACGCCCUUUGGGGGAAAGCAGGGGAUCUUCGGACCUUGCGCUAUUGGAUGUGCCUAUGUCGGAUUAGCUAGUUGGUGGGGUAAGAGCCUACCAAGGCGACGAUCCGUAGCUGGUCUGAGAGGAUGAUCAGCCACAUCGGGACUGAGACACGGCCCGAACUCCUACGGGAGGCAGCAGUGGGGAAUAUUGGACAAUGGGGGCAACCCUGAUCCAGCCAUGCCGCGUGUGUGAAGAAGGCUUUCGGGUUGUAAAGCACUUUCAGUGAGGAGGAAAACCUUACGACUAAUACUCGUGAGGCUUGACGUUACUCACAGAAGAAGCACCGGCUAACUCCGUGCCAGCAGCCGCGGUAAUACGGAGGGUGCAAGCGUUAAUCGGAAUUACUGGGCGUAAAGCGCGCGUAGGUGGUUUGAUAAGCGAGAUGUGAAAGCCCCGGGCUCAACCUGGGAACGGCAUUUCGAACUGUCAGGCUAGAGUAUGGUA
rnacentral:rRNA from 1 species